ACUCCUACGGGAGGCAGCAGUGAGGAAUUUUGCGCAAUGGGGGGAACCCUGACGCAGCAACGCCGCGUGAGUGAAGAAGGCUUCCGGGUUGUAAAGCUCUUUCAGCAGGAACGAAACGGUGGUCCUUAAUACGGGCUACUAAUGACGGUACCUGAAGAAGAAGCACCGGCUAACUACGUGCCAGCAGCCGCGGUAAU
rnacentral:rRNA from 1 species